AUCAACUUAAUGGAAAGAAUACAUAAGGUCAAGAGUUAUCUUGCAUUGAAUCUUCUUUAUUUACGAAAAUAAUUACUACCUAUUUGUUUUCUUACAUUCUAAACUCUCUCAUAUAAUGCAUACAUAUAAUACAUCAACCUUUCAAUUAUACUAAUCAGUAAUCACCACUAACUCUUCAUUUUCCAUCAAUUAAUUGGUAACAACAAUUUGUUAUUACAAUUGCAUUUGCAUUUCUACUUAAAUGGACAUCCUCUUUUUACAAUUGCAUUUGCAUGAUGAUGCCGAAAUAGGAGGGUUUUGUUUAAAGGAAGGAGUACUCCAUUGAAUUAUUCUAUCUACCUUUGUCAAUUGCAUUACUUUUACUCUUUGGCAAGGUUACGAGAUUCACACUUUGAUCAUUAACGCAACAUUGUUGUUGCUGAAUGUGUAGCAACAUCACAAAUGGAGUUUGGGAAAAUAUUACUAUGACCAAUUAAAUCAAUUCUCAAGCUUUAUCAUGGAGGAAGUCCUAACCAUGGUAUCAUAUGGAAUUGCAUUAUAUGAAUAGUCCUAUUCAAUUUCUGUUUCAGAACCAUUGUAUAGAAUUGAAUAAUUUAGAAUUUAUUUUCAUUAAU